UCACAUUUACUCUUUAAAGCAAUGCUUUGAGGUUGUCUUUUCACUUUCUUGCUAAUGUCCUUGGAUGAUCCACAACUUUUCCAAAGCAGGCCAAGCUAUAAAUAAAGGGUGGACUGACCUUGUCAACUGUUAAAUUGGAGCCGUGGUGCGUUGCCUAGAACAUUGCGGAUGACCCCGAGCAGCACAGCAGAUCAACGGCUGAGAAAGAGCUCAUUCAGCUCAUCUAACUAGGAUGCUGUCCUGCCAGAGCCCUGGGGGUUCUCGUCUCCUGGGGCAAAAGCAGCAUGCAACCCUUAUGAACCCAUUUCAUAUUGGCGGACAUUGAGGCACACAGACUGUAUGACUUGCCCAAGGCUGCCCACCUGGUUAGGGGAGCUCCAGGAUUCCAAUCCAGUCCGAACUCAACACGAGGGGUGGCACCUACAGGCUGGGGUCAAUCUGGAAGACUGCCUGUUGUAUGGCCUGGCAACUAAAAAUUGUUUUUUACAUUUUUAAAUGGUUGACAAAAUUAAAAUAAGAGAAUAUUUCAUGACAUCAUCAAAUUACACGAAAUGCAAAUUUCAGCAUCUACAAAUACAGUUUGAUUGGGACACAGCCACCCUCAUCCGUUUGCAGGCUAUCCCUGGCUGCUUACAGGGUCCACAUAGUCCAUAAAGCCUGAGAUAUUUACUAUCUGGCCUUUUACAGAAAAAGUCCCCAAACACUAAUCUGAAAUGUUUGCAUCAGAACCCCUUGUGGGGCUUGUUAGAAUGCAGCUCCCUGGUCCCACACCCAGUCUCUGAUUCAGUAAGUCUGGAGCAGGGCCUGGGAAUUUACAUUUCAAAAUAAUUUCCCAGGUGAUGCUCAUACUGGUCCACAGACCACUUUGAGAGCCACUACCCUAAACCCCAGUGCUCUACUGCUUGUUGUCAGGAUGGCUGGGUCAGGUGAGAAAGAAGCCUAGACAUCCCUAGAGCCACCUGCUGUGCAGCCACCUUUUGAGAAAGUGUCCCCAGUGAUCUUUUCCCAGGUUAGCCUUUGUGGCUUGGGCAUCCAGCCUUUCAGAGAUAUGAAACCACACACGUCUUCAGAGUGAACAGCUGCUCACCCCGAUGUGCUCAAGGGGUGCAGGAUGUGGACACAUCCUACUGAAUGAGCCAGACAACGUAACUGGAUCUGUCCAGAACACCACGAUGGGUGACAUUGCCAUCUGCAGCAGUGCUGUACUUCCUCCCGCCAAUUUGUAAAGUGCAGACAGGAUGCUGGAUCAACUGGCUGCUGCUGAGGCCAGUGACCUCUAGGGCGUAUUCCCACGUUCCUUUGCAGUAGCUGCUCACCUUUGUAAGCAUGUGAGUUAUUCGUGCUGUCUGUUGUGAUCCUAAGGAAUCCAAUGGUCAGGACCAGAACUUCUGAAGUACAGCCCAGCAUUGCCGUCUGGCAUCCCCAGAAAGCAGAUUUUGAGAUUGGCAUGAUGGCCGUUAAGCAGGGCGUUCUCUCUGGAGCAAUGUCUAGCCGGGGUCGGAGUGGGGAGAGAGAGAGGGGGGCUGCUGAGAAUAUCACAGAGAGAUGGCAGCCUUUCUGCAGCAUAGGCCUAAGUGCACACUCACCUGGCUAUCACUGAGAGGACUCUCUGUUCAACAGGGCCACUCAGGGCUUCCCCUGCAUGGAGAUCUGAGUGUCCAGGGAGGGGACGUGGUGAGCAUUUCUCUGGUCAAAGUGUGCAAAGCAAAAUCUGCCCCAUUCCUGCCAAAGUGGUUGACAUGGAGGAAAGGGGAGUGCCAGUUCUGUAGGCUGAGGUGGUGGCUGUUAGAACUGCUCCUAGGCUAGUUGGUGUUCUGGAAGGUUCCCCUCUAUGUGAGAUGAAAGAGCAUAUCUUUAAGAGCUGCAACUUUGAAGCUCUAAUAUAGAAUGCUUUUGGUGGCAAGCAUUACUUCGGAAAGGGCUUGAAGACCCCUGAAGAUCCUUGGUGGCCUAGGCAGUUCCUUUAUUGCCAGGGCUGUGCAGGACUAAGCUUCAACAGCGCCACCAUGUGACAAGAAGCAAUUGCAGUGGUGCAUUGAGGGUUUUCUUUUGCACUGAGAACUCAAGUCCCACUUUCACCCUUGGACCUGGUAAAUCUUUGGGGUUCAUGGACAAUUCUGAGGAGGAGAUACUUAAGAGAGUGAUGUUAGAAUUUGAUGUUUUGGUUUAUUGUAUCAGAAAAUAAAAGAAAUUGGAUUUAUA
rnacentral:lncRNA from 10 species